rnacentral:rRNA from 1 species
UACGAAGGGGGCUAGCGUUGCUCGGAAUCACUGGGCGUAAAGGGUGCGUAGGCGGGUCUUAAGUCAGGGGUGAAAUCCUGGAGCUCAACUCCAGAACUGCCUUUGAUACUGAGGAUCUUGAGUUCGGGAGAGGUGAGUGGAACUGCGAGUGUAGAGGUGAAAUUCGUAGAUAUUCGCAAGAACACCAGUGGCGAAGGCGGCUCACCUGGCCCGAUACUGACCGCUGAGGCACGAAAGCGUGGGGAGCAACAGG